rnacentral:sRNA from 1 species
AUUGAAAUUAUAGGCGAGGGUUGUAGCUGGCCUCUCGGGGCAUGUGCACGCCCGAGCCCUUAAUCCCACACACACCUGUGAACCUAUUGUAAGGGCCCGUAAAAAAAGGCCUUUACGUCUUUAUCACCUACCCGAAGUCUCAUAGAAUGUAAAACAUAUGUCCUCGCCUUAAAAAAGCGUUGAUAAAAUUUAUACAACUUUCAACAACGGAUCUCUUGGCUCUCGCAUCGAUGAAGAACGCAGCGAAAUGCGAUAAGUAAUGUGAAUUGCAGAUUUUCAGUGAAUCAUCGAAUCUUUGAACGCACCUUGCGCUCCUUGGUAUUCCGAGGAGCAUGCCUGUUUGAGUGUCAUUAAAUUCUCAAACUCUGAUUGAUUUGUUUCAAUCGAGCUUUGGAUUUGGAGCGUGCCGGCGUCAGUCGGCUCCUCUUGAAUGCAUCAGCGGAAUCCCAUUCAUUUCGGACGUCAGUGUGAUAAUCAUGUUGCGCUGUCUUUGCGAUCUUGAAAGCCCGCUCACAAUGGUCUUCGGACAAACCUCACUAUCAUAUUUGACCUCAAAUCAGGUAGGACUACCCGCUGAACUUAAGCAU